GCUCUGUAGAAGUAACAUUAAUAUUCUCCACGUACAGUUAAACUCACACACACACAAAUUUACAGAAAUGCUUCAGUUUUAACAGAAAUGUCAUCGACCAUGACAGUGCUCAUCAGACUUUAAAUCAAACUUUAAUCGGCUGCAAAUGUUCAAGUCUUAGAGUUCGGAUCCAAAGAAGAAAACUGAAGAAAGAAAACUGAAUCCUCUUUUUAGUAAAAUUCACAAAGUUUCUGUGGACGUUAAAUUUAUCAAGACAGACACAUUUUUCUAGUUUUCAUGUCAGUAAACUGAGUCUGUGGAGGCGACUGAACAAAAUGAAAGGUGUGAACAGUGACGUGACAGGUAUAUAUGAGUAAUGAAAAAGAGCCUUAGCCUGCAGAAUGAUGCUGUUAUAAAUGAUUGAAAACUCUGCUGAUUAUUUUAGCAUUUUUAGCUGUGCUGAGAAGUGCAAUUAUGAGUAUGAACAUUAAAAAAAUCAGUUUACAGAACAGAUGAAAGCUGAAAAUAUGGAUGUUUGGAUGUCUGCUUCCUUUUCCUUUCUUAGCUGCAAACCGUUGAAGUGGUUUAAAAUCAUCUUUCUGAAUCCACAGCGCUUUUAUUUUGAAAAUACCGGCCUUCAGUUUGUGCGUCUGCUCCCACACACAGACGAAACAGAGUCUCCCUGUGUGUGUGUUUGCAUAGUUUAACAUGUACAGUCUGAACAAAAGGACAAACACGGAGAUAAUCAGACAGAAACCAUGAAAAAAAAAAGUGCAAACAGCCAUGAAGUGAAACGACAAACAACCGCACAAACAUCUGCUUCCUCCGUUUGUUUCAGUCACUUUGUGCUGAAUAAAAAUGCUCAAACUCAGCUGUUUCUGCAGGUUUAAGCUCAUUAACUUCAAACUUAAACUUCGCUAAAUACCAACUCUUAAUUCAGGUUGUUUUUUGAGCGGUGUGUUCAGGGACGCUUGGACGUUCAAGUCUUGCUGACUGAGCUGUAUUUUUAUCCUCGAGCUGUAAACAGAUGCUGCAGAAUAUUUGCUGACUUUUUGCUGCAUCUAAGUGAUCAAACUAAUAUCUUUAUUUGAUUGUUUUUCUGCAUGAAUUUCAGUGUUUGACAUGUUUUUUUUUUUGCCUCAGUUAUUAUUUUUCAAUAAUAAAUAAAUAAAUAAAUAAUAGUCCUGGAUAGGCCUGUUGCGAUAAUCAAUAAAUUGCCUUAUCGCUCGAUAAAUAAAAACGAGGUCGAUAACUUUGCCAGCCUCGAUAAUUGACGUGCGUUUGUUUUCCUCCUCUCUCGCUACCAAACACGCUGGAUGAGAGAAGAGGUCUCACUCUGCGCAUUUUUCUCGGCACCUGGGGGCGUUGGCUGUACAGCGGAAUGAACGGAGUUAGUGAACCCUCCUGUCAGUCAUUCAGUGUCUUUGUUACGAGGGGGCGCGCGCGCGCAGGUACACGUAGGCGCGCACAGGCACACAGACACAGACUUUUGGAUACAGUGCUGCAAGUGAGCGUCGUGAGUGAAAAGCAAGCUAACAGAAUAAACACGACAGCUUUGGUGUCUAAA